CCUGCAAGUGUUUGAUAAGCCUUCUCCAAUAUGCUUUGCAUGUAUUUCCCUUGAGCCUCAAUCCUUAGCUGAAGGUGUUUUUGAACCUGCCACACAUGCACCUCAGUUCAUCUAGAACAUGACCAUGGCAUAGAUUUAGAAGAUUUUAAAUUGAAAUUUGCAUGAGGCACAAUAAUUAUUUGUUCAUGCAAGAGUAUAGGGGUUGUUACUUACCUCAAGUUGUUCAUGCAAUCUUCUCUGCACCUCUAUUUGCAUCCUAAUGGCAUCAACCAUGUGUGAGUUACUGUUUUAUACAAGAAAACCCGAAUUUCCCAAACCCCAAAGACAAUCAAAAGUGAAACUUAGGAGAGAAGAAAGAGGAAAAUUCUCUUGAAAUUGUCGUUUACAUGUUUGGUUCAAAAGAAGAUGUAAGAAGUGAGAGACAUUAUAUAUAUAUAUAUGUAUGUAUGUAUAGAUAAUAAUACUUAUGUUAAAGUAAAUAUUAAGAAGCUAGAGUAGAGGGAAGAUCUAGUUAUAGGGUUUUGAUAAAUAAAUAUAUAAAGAAAAUGUACCAAAAGAUUACUACAUAUUAUCUAAAGCAGUAACAUGAACAAAAGGGUUGUCCCAGAUCCCUACUUUGUUUAUUUUCUUUUUCUUUUGGUUAACAUCUCACAUCAACUUACAUUUCCUACCUAUAGCUUGAACUACAUUGAACUGACCUAGUAAAAUUUACAUGUUAAAUGCACACUGGUGGAGGCUAAUUUCUUAAAAGGCAACUCCACUGAGUCUUAAAUAAUGGAUCAAGAUCAUCUCUAGUAUUGGAUGGAGAUUACGAUAGGGGACAAAAAAUCUUUAACGACUAUGAUUUUAAGUUAUUUUUCAAUAAAAAAAUUAUAUUUUUUCCCAUAGUCUAAAUAAUGGACUCUCUAAUAAUCUAUCUCUCUUUAAUUGUGGCCACAAAUCAGAAUUUUAAAGUCUCUUACACAAUUAUAUUUAUUGUGAUUGUGAAGAUAAUCAAAUCACAACAUUGCAACCUUAACUAUAAUUGCAGAAUACAAUUUAAAACGGAAAUAUAAAUAAGGUAGUAAAGUAAGAAAUUUCAUAAGACAAAAAAAGUAGAAAUUUCCAGGUGAAAUCUUGUGCUAGAAGAUGUACCUUGUUGUCCUAAUCAUGUUAUUCUUAAGGAAUAUAGAGAAGUAAAGAAGAGGAAAGAUAGUGAAAGAGAGAUACCCUAUGUCGGCUUCAACUAAUCUCUUAAGAACUUGAAGAGAAAGGAUCAUUUGCCACUGUACACUUGAAAAUGACUUAACAUUUUAAAGUUCAUUAUUCUCUCUUUUAACUUUUCUUCCUUCACUGCUCUAUCUUUCUAUAUUCCAUCAACCAUGUUUCAUAACAAUUACAAUAUAAAUCAUAUUUGGGAAUUGGGUUUAUAUUUUCCCGAGAGAUUUGUCUUCAAUCAUUGGGUAACUAACUUGUUCCAACUAACUUCAAACGAUUAAUACCUAACUCUAUUAAAGGUUAAUUCAUCACUUGAUUAUUUAUAGAAAAGUGGCCUCGAAAACUUAAAUGAGUCAAACAGAAAUUAAUGUCAAGGUAAACAAAUAAUUUAUCAAUAUCAACAGUAUCAUCUUAAUUAUAAUGUUACUUAUGUAAUUCUUUACCAAAAAUGUUACUCAUAUAAUUACAUUUAAAUUUUCUUCUUGUUGUUAUAUAAAUAAAUAAUUACUAUUUUUUAAACAAAUGAUUGACUCCGGUAGUAGUAUUUGCUUCUCUUAAACAUGUUUUAGGGAGGUUGGGCUCCUCUCGAUUAUUAGACCCAAAUUAUUAUGACAUGUGGUACAUGAAAAAGUUGAAGGGUUUAGAUAUUUCAAUACUGAAGAAGCCAAUAUAGGAGAAGAGUUCACAUCGUUUUAGGGUUGGAGUUUUGCAUAUAAAAAAUGGUCGGAAAAAUGUUUUUUGCUAAACAAGAAUUAUCGUCAUAGAUCCAAAAAAGUGUUUAUUAAAAUUGUUCAUCAUUAAUCAAUCAUAAUUUUAUAAAAUAAAAAUUUAUAAUUAAUUACAUAUCAGUAUUAAAUAAAAAAAAAUUAGAGUGUAAAUUAACAACAUAUCCUAUGACAUGAUCUAUGUGCCAGAGUUUUGGCUGCUGCCAUAACUGGAUGCUACCCAUUAAUGGAACUUUUCAAUUUUAUGGAUAUUAAUGUACCAAGUAAAUCUCCUCCAAAAAAUAUAUUCUAUGCAGAAGCUGCUUAUAAGUGACGCAGAGAAUGUUUCAUAUAUGAUGUCAGGGUAAAAAAAAAACAAGUGGGGGUCCAAGAAAAAGAUAGAAAGAAAGAAAACCAUGAAUGUGAUAAAAAGAAGAAAAGUUUGUUUCCUUAGAAUUUUUCUCAUAGACCAAGAUGAAUACAUGCAAACAAGUUUUCAUAAGAAAAUCAAUUAAUGAAUUGCUAACAAGAUUCAAUGUAAAAACAAAAUAUUAAAAGUAUGAAACAAUGUUAAUUAAAACCAAGUGAGAAAGUUUAGUUACUCACAUUCAAGCACAAGUAUAUGUGCUUUAAUUAUACUAGUUAGAAUAAGAUUUUAUGUUUGCCAUGCAAAGGCAUUAUAUGACAUAACAUUACUUGAGGAGGAACCAAUUCAAAACCCUAGAUAUGGAGUUUAUGAUGAAGUCAAUUACAUAAAACAUAAGCAAAUGAUCUAAAACUAAAACUCUGACUCACCCAAAUGGUGAGCUUCUACCUUGUGCCAUGGAGCCAGUGCUGAUCAUAGGACUCAUUCUUUCUGCUUGAAGAGUUGUCCUUCUUGGUGAUGGCCUAUCAAGCUUCAUAGAUGCAUCAAAUUUCUUCUCAUCCCCAUAAAGUGAGGGCUUUGUGUCAUACAUCUCUGAUAUUUGAUCAAUCUCAGUGCCUCUAUCCAUUGAUGCUGGUGCAAGUUGAAUCUGGCCACCUUUGAAAGGGUCAUCUUGAGGGCCAAGGCAUGAUGAGGCUGUCCCUAAAUCUUGAAGCCUAAGAUCAUCACUCCAAAUCAAAGGGCUCUUUCCACUACCACUAUAAGGGUUUGGUCUCUUUUUCCCAAGGCACAAGUUUUCAUUGAUUGACAUAAACCCAUCAAGGGGUGGCUUCUCCAUGUUUGGCUGAAGAUCAAGUUGGUCACCUCCAAAAAUGUCAAGAUCUUGGAAAGAAGAGAAAUUAAGAGGAGAACCAAAUUCUUUCAUGAUUCCCAUGUCAUGGAUUCCUUGAUGAGGUACCAUACCCUUCAUGUUAGUGGCAGCAGAUGCCAUGUUUUCACCUGCAAGUGUUUGAUAAGCCUUCUCCAAUAUGCUUUGCAUGUAUUUCCCUUGAGCCUCAAUCCUUAGCUGAAGGUGUUUUUGAACCUGCCACACAUGCACCUCAGUUCAUCUAGAACAUGACCAUGGCAUAGAUUUAGAAGAUUUUAAAUUGAAAUUUGCAUGAGGCACAAUAAUUAUUUGUUCAUGCAAGAGUAUAGGGGUUGUUACUUACC
rnacentral:lncRNA from 1 species